rnacentral:tRNA from 1 species
GGGAAUGUGGCUUAGUGGCUAAGCACCCCUGGGUUCAAUUCCCUGCAGUCCCU